rnacentral:rRNA from 1 species
AGAGUUUGAUCCUGGCUCAGGAUGAACGCUAGCUACAGGCUUAACACAUGCAAGUCGAGGGGCAGCAUUCCAGUUUGCUUGCAAACUGGAGAUGGCGACCGGCGCACGGGUGAGUAACACGUAUCCAACCUGCCGAUAACUCGGGGAUAGCCUUUCGAAAGAAAGAUUAAUACCCGAUGGCAUAAUAGAACCGCAUGGUUUGAUUAUUAAAGAAUUUCGGUUAUCGAUGGGGAUGCGUUCCAUUAGGCAGUUGGUGGGGUAACGGCCCACCAAACCUUCGAUGGAUAGGGGUUCUGAGAGGAAGGUCCCCCACAUUGGAACUGAGACACGGUCCAAACUCCUACGGGAGGCAGCAGUGAGGAAUAUUGGUCAAUGGACGAGAGUCUGAACCAGCCAAGUAGCGUGAAGGAUGACUGCCCUAUGGGUUGUAAACUUCUUUUAUACGGGAAUAAAGUGAGGCACGUGUGCCUUUUUGUAUGUACCGUAUGAAUAAGGAUCGGCUAACUCCGUGCCAGCAGCCGCGGUAAUACGGAGGAUCCGAGCGUUAUCCGGAUUUAUUGGGUUUAAAGGGAGCGUAGGCGGACGCUUAAGUCAGUUGUGAAAGUUUGCGGCUCAACCGUAAAAUUGCAGUUGAUACUGGGUGUCUUGAGUACAGUAGAGGCAGGCGGAAUUCGUGGUGUAGCGGUGAAAUGCUUAGAUAUCACGAAGAACUCCGAUUGCGAAGGCAGCUUGCUGGACUGUAACUGACGCUGAUGCUCGAAAGUGUGGGUAUCAAACAGGAUUAGAUACCCUGGUAGUCCACACAGUAAACGAUGAAUACUCGCUGUUUGCGAUAUACAGUAA